rnacentral:rRNA from 1 species
CCUACGGGAGGCAGCAGCGAGGAAUCUUGGGCAAUGGGCGAAAGCCUGACCCAGCGACGCCGCGUGAGGGAAGAAGGCCUUCGGGUCGUAAACCUCUUUUGCCGGGGAAGAAGAUCUGACGGUACCCGGCGAAUAAGCCACGGCUAACUACGUGCCAGCAGCCGCGGUAAUACGUAGGUGGCGAGCGUUGUCCGGAUUUACUGGGCGUAAAGGGCUUGUAGGCGGUCCGUUAAGUCCGGUGUGAAAUCUCCCGGCCAAACCGGGAGGGGUAAUCGGAGACUGGCGGGCUAGAGGUAGGCAGAGGAAAGCGGAAUUCCCGGGGUAGCGGUAAAAUGCGUAGAUAUCGGGAGGAACACCAGUGGCGAAGGCGGCUUUCUGGGCCUAUCCUGCCGCGGAGGACCGAAAGCAUGGGGAGCAAACCGGAUCAGAUCCCCCGGUAGU